GUAGCUCAGUGGUGGAGCAUCUGCUUUGCAUGCAGAAGGUCCCAGGUUCAGUUCCCCGGAUCUCCCA